rnacentral:rRNA from 1 species
UACGUAGGGUGCAAGCGUUGUCCGGAAUUAUUGGGCGUAAAGAGCUCGUAGGCGGUCUGUCGCGUCGGAUGUGAAAACCCAGGGCUCAAUCCUGGGCCUGCAUUCGAUACGGGCAGACUAGAGUUCGGUAGGGGAGACUGGAAUUCCUGGUGUAGCGGUGAAAUGCGCAGAUAUCAGGAGGAACACCGGUGGCGAAGGCGGGUCUCUGGGCCGAAACUGACGCUGAGGAGCGAAAGCGUGGGGAGCAAACAGG